UACAGAGGUCCCAAGCGUUGUUCGGAUUCACUGGGCGUAAAGGGUGCGUAGGCGGUCGGGUAAGUCUGGCGUGAAAUCUCCAAGCCUAACUUGGAAACUGCGUUGGAUACUAUCCGGCUCGAGGAAUGGAGGGGAGACUGGAAUACUUGGUGUAGCAGUGAAAUGCGUAGAUAUCAAGUGGAACACCAGUGGCGAAGGCGGCUACCUGGACAAUUGCUGACGCUCAGGCACGAAAGCGUGGGGAGCAAAAGGG
rnacentral:rRNA from 1 species